GACGAACGCUGGCGGCGUGCUUAACACAUGCAAGUCGAGCGGAGCGGCGAACGGGUGAGUAACGCGUGAGUAACUGCCCCCCUCUCUGGGAUAACAGUUGGAAACGGCUGCUAAUAACGGAUAGUGGGGGAUGCCGCGCGUCCUAUGAGAUUGUUGGUGGGGUAGUGGCAUACCAAGGCGACGACGGGUAGCAGGCCUGAGAGGGCAACCGGCACCCUUGGGCGUAGAUAUGGCCCAAACUCCGGCUGGAGGCAGCAGUGGGGAAUAUUGCACAAUGGGGUAAACCCUGAGUCAGCAACGCCGCUUGCGGGAUGACGGCCUUCGGGUUGUAAACCGCUUUCAGCCAUGACGCGGCAGUGGCAGAAGAAGCACCGGCUAACUACGUGCCAGCAGCCGCGGUAAUAC
rnacentral:rRNA from 1 species